GGCUCAGGACGAACGCUGGCGGCGUGCCUAACACAUGCAAGUCGAGCGAGGAGAUCCUCGGGAUGAUUCUAGCGGCGGACGGGUGAGUAACACGUGGGCAACCUGCCUCAUAGAGAGGAAUAGCCUUCCGAAAGGGAGACUUAAUACCUCAUAACAUUGCAGUUUCGCAUGGAACAGCAAUUAAAGGAGUAAUCCGCUAUGAGAUGGGCCCCGCGGCGCAUUAGCUAGUUGGUGAGGUAAUGGCUCACCCAAGGCGACGAUGCGUAGCCGACCUGAGAGGGUGAUCGGCCACAUUGGGACUGAGACACGGCCCAGACUCCUACGGGAGGCAGCAGUGGGGAAUAUUGCACAAUGGGGGAAACCCUGAUGCAAGCAACGCCGCGUGAGUGAUGACGGCCUUCGGGUUGUAAAGCUCUGUCUUCAGGGACGAUAAUGACGGUACCUGAGGAGGAAGCCACGGCUAACUACGUGCCAGCCGCAGC
rnacentral:rRNA from 1 species